AACAAAUACAAUCAAGUGAACGCCUUGUGCGAUCACGAGCUGUGAGCUAUGGCC
rnacentral:tRNA from 1 species